AUUGAACGCUGGCGGCAUGCCUUACACAUGCAAGUCGAACGGCAGCACGGACCUCGGUCUGGUGGCGAGUGGCGAACGGGUGAGUAAUGUAUCGGAACGUACCUUUCAGUGGGGGAUAACGUAGCGAAAGUUACGCUAAUACCGCAUAUUCUGUGAGCAGGAAAGCAGGGGAUCGCAAGACCUUGCGCUGAUUGAGCGGCCGAUAUCAGAUUAGCUAGUUGGUGAGGUAAAGGCUCACCAAGGCGACGAUCUGUAGCGGGUCUGAGAGGAUGGUCCGCCACACUGGAACUGAGACACGGUCCAGACGCCUACGGGAGGCAGCAGUGGGGAAUUUUGGACAAUUGGGGCAACCCUGAUCCAGCCAUGCCGCGUGAGUGAAGGAGGCCUUCGGGUUGUAAAGCUCUUUCAGCCGGGAAGAAAUCGCAUGGGUUAAUACCCUGUGCGGAUGACGGUACCGGAAUAAGAAGCACCGGCUAACUACGUGCCAGCCGCCGCCGUAAUAC
rnacentral:rRNA from 1 species